UACGUAGGGACCAAGCGUUGUUCGGAUUUACUGGGCGUAAAGGGCGCGUAGGCGGCAAUUCAAGUCAUCUGUGAAAUCUCCGGGCUUAACUCGGAACGGUCAGAUGAUACUGCUUUGCUAGAGUGCGGAAGGGGCAAUCGGAAUUCUUGGUGUAGCGGUGAAAUGCGUAGAUAUCGAGAGGAACACCAGUGGCGAAGGCGGCGACCUGGGCCAAUACUGACGCUGAGGUGCGAAAGCGUGGGGAGCAAACAGG
rnacentral:rRNA from 1 species